GCGUACAUCACGCACCCAGCCUUUUGGAAAUGAGCUGGAGACCAGGCAUUUUUGCACUCCAAUACUUAGUAAAUUUCACACACUCACACCUGAUUUUUUCCCUGCACACCUCUUUGGUUUGGGCCUGUUUUCUUCCUUGGUUGAUAUAUGUGUAACUGAUACAUGAGAUUGGCCCUUACCGCUGUAUGGACUGAUAUAUAGGGUGCCUUAAAGGCCGCCUUAAAACUAAGUGUUUCCCUGAGCUUUUAAUUGCGGCUUGAAAAAAGUAAAAAGAAAUGAAAAAAAGAGAGAGAGAGAAAAAUGGAGGCAGGCUUGAGCUUCGUCUUUCACUCUGGGCCUACCCUGCUGUAGCAGACGGACUACUAUCAGAGACUCGAACUAGGGUCGUUAAACUCUGGAGUCCGAAUGCUGGCCUCUUAACGCUGUACACCACUCAGCAGGGCGAGUAAACUUUGGAAAAAAAAGGACAUUUAUCUUUUGUCCUUCAAUUUUUUAUUUUUUUUUUGUUAUCGUUUUUCUAAAUCUAUUAAGCUUCUUGUGCAAUAUUGUUCCACACAAAUUACACAUGGACAUCUAGCUAUUUUUUUUAUUGGCAUUCACAAAAUGGGACUGGAUGUUGGACGGCUUACCAAAGCCUUCCUGCUACCCGAAUCCCUGCUUGGAAACCUGCUGGCCGCGGCGGCACCAUGUUUUCACCACACUCUUCCGCUUCAGCUGUCUUUUUUGCCUCAUGGCUAUACCCACACUGACCACUCCUUCAAUGAAGACAGUAAUGAGAUCAUCUGCACACUCCACAGAGCUCCAGAGUUACUGUUCAUAGCAAAAGUGUAAUGCUGUCCUUGGAGAUUUUCACCUAAGACUGUGAGUGUGAGUGUGUAAUGGAUUUCAAAGUGUUUAAGUGUUCAGAGCACUCUACAGCCUGGUAAGGUGGCAAGUUUGAAAAGAGCAGCAGAAGGUAUCAGUACUGUAGUGUAACUUGUUCUUUUCCUUUCCUAACAGUGAACAGAGUGCCGAUUAUUAUCGACAGCUACGUCCACCCGGGGUGAAAGUAGUGUGGGAGACCAUCAGGACCCAGCUGGGUUUCCUUGGUCCAGAGGUUUGGAGAAACCUCUUCCUUUUCUUUCAUCACAGCUGUCCUGUGCCAGAUGUUCUGUUGACCACUGAGAGAGGCGUGUUUGAGAAAGAUCAGGAAGACUGAAGCUCAUGGUAGGAAUGAAGGAGGACCUUGUGAGCUCCACCAGCAGCUCCCUCACAAGGAACUGUUCACAAGUCCACUGCAGGCACGCCCCAGAAGAUGGAUAAAGGCAGCGUUUCAUGAAGACACUGGAACCAAUCUAUCUUCAUAACAGCAGGAUAAAGACAUGGUGAUAAAUGAGUGUGUGG